rnacentral:pre_miRNA from 1 species
CUGGAGGUGGGGGGGAAGUCCCUCAGCCUGAAUUGUGAGAGGGUGCCAGCCAGGCUGAGGGACCCCACCAGUGCACG